CCCUUAGAUGUUCUGGGCUGCAUGCGCGCUACACUGAAGCUAUCAACACGUUUUCCCUCCCUGAGAAGGGCGGGUAACCUUUUGAAUCAGCUUCGUGGUAGGGAUCGGGGCUUGCAAUUGUUCCCCGUGAACCAGGAAUUCCUAGUAGACGCGAGUCAUAAGCUCGCAUCGAUUAAGUCCCUGCCCUUUGUACACACCGCCCGUCGCUACUACCGAUUGAAUGGUUUAGUGAGAUCUUCGGAUUGGCGCCAUCGUGGCUUCGCGGCCAUGACGGAUGGCCGAAAAGUUGAUCAAACUUGAUCAUUUAGAGGAAGUAAAAGUCGUAACA
rnacentral:rRNA from 1 species